rnacentral:rRNA from 1 species
UACGAAGGGUGCAAGCGUUACUCGGAAUUACUGGGCGUAAAGCGUGCGUAGGCGGUUUGUUAAGUCCGUUGUGAAAGCCCCUGGGCUCAACCUGGGAAUUGCAGUGGAUACUGGCGAGCUAGAGUGCGGUAGAGGAUGGUGGAAUUCCCGGUGUAGCGGUGAAAUGCGUAGAGAUCGGGAGGAACACCCGUGGCGAAGGCGGCCAUCUGGACCAGCACUGACGCUGAGGCACGAAAGCGUGGGGAGCAAACAGG